AGAGGACCGGAGUGGACGAACCUCUGGUGUUCCGGUUGUCACGCCAGUGGCACUGCCGGGUAGCUAUGUUCGGAAGCGAUAACCGCUGAAAGCAUCUAAGCGGGAAGCGCGCCUCAAGAUGAGAUUUCCCGGGGCACAAGCCCCCUAAAGGCACCAUCAAGACUAGGUGGUUGAUAGGCUGGGUGUGUAAGUGCAGUAAUGCAUUGAGCUAACCAGUACUAAUGAGCCGUGCGGCUUGACCAU
rnacentral:rRNA from 1 species